rnacentral:rRNA from 1 species
UACGUAGGGGGCAAGCGUUGUCCGGAUUUAUUGGGCGUAAAGAGCGUGUAGGCGGCCAGGUAGGUCAGCUGUGAAAACUCGAGGCUCAACCUCGAGACGUCGGUUGAAACCACCUGGCUAGAGUCCGGAAGAGGAGAGUGGAAUUCCUGGUGUAGCGGUGAAAUGCGCAGAUAUCAGGAAGAACACCCGUGGCGAAGGCAGGUCACUGGGCCGCAACUGACGCUGAGGAGCGAAAGCAUGGGGAGCGAACAGG